rnacentral:rRNA from 1 species
CCACCACUAAGCCAGUGGUGAACUCCACAUACGCAUCCUUUGCUGAGGAUACGGUUAACGGAGCGCAAGCGACGUUCAACCUCAAAAGAAGCAGAGGGGGCUUAGUGGUGGGGUGACUGCGUACCUUUUGUAUAAUGGGUCAGCGACUUAUAUUCUGUAGCAAGGUUAACCGAAUAGGGGAGCCGGAGGGAAACCGAGUCUUAAUUGGGCGUUAAGUUGCAGGGUAUAGACCCGAAACCCGGUGAUCUAGCCAUGGGCAGGUUGAAGGUUGGGUAACACUAACUGGAGGACCGAACCGGCUAAUGUUGAAAAAUUAGCGGAUGACCUGUGGCUGGGGGUGAAAGGCCAAUCAAACCGGGAGAUAGCUGGUUCUCCCCGAAAGCUAUUUAGGUAGCGCCUCGUGAAUUCAUCUCCGGGGGUAGAGCACUGUUUCGGCUAGGGGGCCAUCCCGGCUUACCAACCCGAUGCAAACUGCGAAUACCGGAGAAUGCUAUCACGGGAGACACACGGCGGGUGCUAACGUCCGUCGUGAAGAGGGAAACAACCCAGACCGCCAGCUAAGGUCCCAAAGUCAUGGUUAAG